rnacentral:rRNA from 1 species
GACGAACGCUGGCGGCGUGCUUAACACAUGCAAGUCGAACGGAAAGGCCCUGCUUUUGUGGGGUGCUCGAGUGGCGAACGGGUGAGUAACACGUGAGUAACCUGCCCUUGACUUUGGGAUAACUUCAGGAAACUGGGGCUAAUACCGGAUAGGAGCUCCUGCUGCAUGGUGGGGGUUGGAAAGUUUCGGCGGUUGUGGAUGGACUCGCGGCUUAUCAGCUUGUUGGUGGGGUAGUGGCUUACCAAGGCUUUGACGGGUAGCCGGCCUGAGAGGGUGACCGGCCACAUUGGUACUGAGAUACGGCCCAGACUGCUACGGGAGGCAGCAGUGGGGAAUAUUGCACAAUGGGCGGAAGCCUGAUGCAGCAACGCCGCGUGCGUGAUGACGGCCUUCGGGUUGUAAACCGCUUUCGCCUGUGACGAAGCGUGAGUGACGGUAAUGGGUAAAUAAGCACCGGCUAACUACGUG